UGAACACCAAGAAGAGAAGGGAACAUUCCCAUCAACAAAAUGAUACUCCCUCCGUCCACGAAAAACAUGCCACUUUGCUUUCGGCACGGGUUUUAAGAAAAUGUGAGUAAAGUUGGUAGUGGAGUAAGGGUCCCACUUUAAAUGUGAGUGGAGUUGUGUGGACCCUACUACUAAAAAUGGAAGUGGCAUAUUUUUUGUGGACGGACGAAAAAGGAAAUUGUGGCAUAUUUUUGGUGGACGGAGGGAGUAAUACUUGUUCUAACUCCACAGUCUACCCUUAAUCUCCAAAACAAGUUGCUUAGCAUCCCACACCCUACCCUCAAAGCUGCUCUCAUUUCUGCACUUCCAAAUCAGCCAAACAAUCCCAACCCAAAGUGCAAGAAGCAAUUUUCUCUUUUUUUUUCCUUCUAACUCCAAGGAGAGUCCUCAUCAAGUUAUUAUUAUUAUAGAUAGAUCAAGAUCAUCCAAGGAGAGUCCUCAUCAAGUUAGAACUCAUGUUUCCAUCUACGACUUAGAAAUGAUUACCUUGGGUUACAAGAGAAUAUUGAAGAAGUGAUAUCUAUGUAAGGAGAUCAUAUUUAGUUCAAGAUGGGGGAAUUUCAUUCAUAAUUGAUCUCGCCAUGUAGACUAGAAUUCUUAUUCUUGUAAUGUCCUCAGACUUGUUACAGUGAUCUGUAGUACAUUCACUGAUACUAUACUUUUAAUUGUCCUAGCAGAAGAGUGUUUGUGAGG
rnacentral:lncRNA from 1 species